CUAAGAGUCGGACACGGCUAAGUGACUUCACUUUCACUUUUCACUUUCAUGCAUUGGAGAAGGAAAUGGCAACCCAUUCCAGUGUUCUUGCCUGGAGAAUCCCAGGGAUGGGGGAACCUGGUGGACUUCCGUCUCUGGGGUCGCACAGAGUUGGACACGACUGAAGCGACUUAGCAGCAGCAGCAGCAGUGCUCAGUUGCAACCCUGACUCUGAAUCUGACUCUGCAACCCUGUGGACUGUAGCCUUCAAGGCUCUGCUGUCCAUGGGAUUUCCCAGGCAAGAAUACUGAAGUGGGUUGCUAUUUCCUUCUCCAGGGGAUCAUUCUGACCCAGGGAUGGAACCCGUGUCUCUUGUGUCUCCUGCUUUGCAGGCAGAUUCUUUACCACUGAGCUACCAGGGGAGUCCCAGUAACUGGCCUGGAAUAAACUAAAGACACAAAUGACCAGGAAGAUUGAGUUCAGAAGUCUGGAUCAAAACCAAGAUAAAUCCUGACAUGUAUUUUAUUUCAGGAAAAUUUCCCUCUUCCCUAAUGACUCUCGCUUAUGGAAGAAUUACUUCACAUCAAAGAGGUGACCCACCUGGAGGAAGGAUUUUUCUUGAGCAACUCAAAGACUGAGGACACAUGUGGGAUCCACUUCUAAUUAUUCAAAAGGUUUCUUAGAUGGUGGUUCCAGGUGUGUCCCUUACAGUAGGGGGGAGUAUAGUGUAGAGUGUGAAUCUCUCUGCCUAGGGAUCUGAUGGGUUUCCCUGGACCCCCAACCUUUGAGAAGCAAGGGUCUGGGAUGGAAGUUCAUCUGAGCUUGGAGAAGGUAUCUGAGGAACCUGCAGAAUUUCAAGCUAAUUGGUUUUGUUGCGGCACGCAGGAUCUUCAUUUCAGGAUAUGACAACAGAGCCGGCAGAAAAACUGCAUCUUGUCUCAGCCUGGAGAGUGAAAUAAUCAAGAAGCACAAUCUGUGCUCCUCAGUGAGGACAAACAAAGUUUCUGAAACCAUCUGGGAACAAAAGAUCAUUAUAGA
rnacentral:lncRNA from 1 species